ensembl:lncRNA
AUGUGGAAUAAAGCGAAACGUUCUCACCAAAUUGCGGCCCCGCAGGACCAUUAUUUGUACAGGAAGCGACAUUUUUAUGAAUUUACUUCGCCAGCGGCCCCUCGGCUGCGUCGGUCCGUUGCCGCGGCAACCAGCUCCCCGUUCUCGCGAGAUUUGGCAGCGCGUCCCAACAUGGCGCCCGGCGCGGCCGUGGACGCGGUGCUGGAGCUGCGGGGCCGGUGCGGGGAGGACGAGGCCCGGAUCGCCGCCAGCGUCCGGCGCUGCAGGCAGCUGCUGCGCGGCAGGGAGACGCGCCUGGUGGAAGCAGCGAGCGCCUCGGAGGAACCGGGCCCGGCGGAGGAUCUUCCUCCUGAGGAGCUCCAAGAUCUCCAUCUGCUGGACCGACUGCUGGAGAAGGCCAUGCGGGUUCGCAGCGGUGUCACCAGGCUGGGCGUGGCCGGUCCUCCAUCCAGGGAGCGGACCCGGGCGGCGACCCUGCAGCCACCUGCAGCUCCGUGUCCUCCAUCCAGCCUCAUCGGUGGACCUUCAUCAGUGGUCAGGAAGUCGUCGUCUUCAGCUGGAGCUGCCACCAGGCCGGGCGUGGCCGGUCCUACAUCCAGGGAGCGGGUGGCGAAGAUGAACCGAACCCGGGCGAUGACCCUGCAGCCACCUGCAGCUCUGUGUCCUCCAUCCAGCCUCAGCAGUGGACCUUCAUCAGUGAGGAAGUCAUCGUCUUCAGCUGGAGCUGCCACCAGGCCGGGCGUGGCCGGUCCUACAUCCAGGGAGCGGGUGGCGAAGAUGAACCGAACCCGGGCGAUGACCCUGCAGCCACCUGCAGCUCUGUGUCCUCCAUCCAGCCUCAGCAGUGGACCUUCAUCAGUGAGGAAGUCAUCGUCUUCAGCUGGAGCUGCCACCAGGCCGGGCGUGGCCAGUCCUCCAUCCAGGGAGCGGGUGGCGAAGACGAGCCAGAGCCAGGCGACGACAUUGCAGCCGCCUGCAGCUCCGUCUCGUCCAUUCAGCCUCAGCGAUGGGCCUUCAUCAGUGAGGAGGACAUCGUCGUCUUCAGUUCCUCUCUGCAGUGCUCCGCCUUCGCCAGCCUGGGCCGCACCGAUCGCCCGCCAGGACAGGUUGUGGGACGAGGUCGUGUCCCGGCAGCACCAGUCGGUUCCAGAGCGGAGACGCUUCGUUAAGAAGCUGCAGGUCCUGCUUCCAGCUCCUCCCCUGGUCCCCGCGGACGCCCGGUGCGAGGCGGUCCGGCUGGCCCGGCUGGGCGGAGCUCUGAGGCGCUGCUACCACGCGGAGCUGAGCAUGAUGGGAGUGCGGCCGGGCGAAUCGGACGCGAUGCUGGAGCGGCUGGAGAAGAUGAUGGUGGACGUUUGUGCAGAAGCGGCGCAGCUCAGAACCGAGCUGAACGCCGUGGACGAGUCUGUGUCUAGAGGGAUGUGUCCCGUCAGGAGGGCGGGCUGGGGCGGUCAGGUGAAGCCCCGCCUCCUUCCUGCUUUGAUCUACCGCAGCCAAUCGGAGCUCCAGGAGGUGGAGCUGCUGCGCAUGAGGGUGGAGCUCCUGGAGCAGGAGCUGCACCUGCAGCAGGUGAGACUAAAGCAGGAAGUAUUUUCUACAUUUACUCGCCGGAACUGCUGCAUCAAUGUAUGAUGGGUGUGUUCCCUCAGGUCCUCUCUGAAGCCCUAAGCCCCGCCCAGUCGCCUCCGUCCUCUCUGAGCGCCGCCCGUCUGCGGGGCCUUUACUCCCUGCUUGCUGAAGGCGGGUCCCGCUUUCCUUCUCUGGUGCUGGACUCCAGGCCGCAUAUCCCAUAAUCCCCGGCGUCAUGUGAUCCACCGCAUCGCUGUGCUGAAUAAAGGAUUAAACGACUGCUUGUGUUUUGUGGCGUCAGAGCUG